CUAGUAAUGGCAGGUCAGCAUACUGCCGUGAAUAACGUUCCCGGGCCUUGUACACACCGCCCGUCACACCAUGAGAGUUGGGAAUACCCGAAGCCUGUGAGCCAACAAACGAGGCAGCAGUCGAAGGUAGAAUCAAUGAUUGGGGUGAAGUCGUAACAAGGUACC
rnacentral:rRNA from 1 species